UGCCAGCCGCCGCGGUAAUACGGAGGGUGCAAGCGUUGUUCGGAAUUAUUGGGCGUAAAGCGCGUGUAGGCGGUUCGUUAAGUCUUUGGUGAAAGCCGGUCGCUCAACGAUCGGAAGUGCUGGAGAAACCACUUUUCUUGGAACUGGAAGAGGUAAGCGCUACUAUCAGGGGAUCGGUGAAAUGAAUAGAGCCUGAUGGGAGCACCUGUGGCGAAAGCGGCUUACUGGGACAGAUUCGACGGUCAGGUACGAAAGCGUGGGGAGCAAAACGGAUUAGAUA
rnacentral:rRNA from 1 species